CAAAUGACCAAAAUCAAAUACUCAAACACAUCAAACAAAUAGAUAAUGACUGUCAUAUUCCUAACUUGGUACAGGCAUUUUCUUCUGUAGAAAUUGGUGGGAUUAAACAUGGUUUUAUAGCUAGCUAAACAUCUCUUGUAACACAAUAACAAAGUUCCAUCAUAUUGACCAUGAUGUGUGUCAGAACAAACAAAAUAUAAGAUAAAAAAA
rnacentral:lncRNA from 1 species